rnacentral:rRNA from 1 species
CUGGUUGAUCCUGCCAGUAGUCAUAUGCUUGUCUCAAAGACUAAGCCAUGCAUGUCUAAGUAUAAAUGGAAUACAAUGAAACUGCGAGUGGCUCAUUAAAACAGUUAUAGUUUAUUUGGUAAACGAGAUUACAUGGAUAACCGUGGUAAUUCUAGAGCUAAUACAUGCUGUAGUGCCCGACGCAAGAAGGGCUGUAUUUAUUAGAUAUUGACCAAUGACCGUCAGGUAAUGUGGUGUAUCAUAGUAACUAGAUCGGAUCGCAUGGGCUUGUCCCGCGACAGACCAUUCAAGUUUCUGCCCCAUCAGCUUUCGAUGGUAGUGUAUUGGACUACCAUGUUUCACAGGUAACGGAGGAUUAGGGUUCGAUUCCGGAGAGGGAGCCUGAGAAACGGCUACCACAUCUAAGGAAGGCAGCAGGCGCGUAAAUUACCCAAUCCUGACUUAGGGAGGUAGUGACAAGAAAUAACGGGUCGGGGUUUUGCCCCGGGACUGAAAUGAUUUGAAUGUAGAACUCUUAUCGAGGACCAAUUGGAGGGCAAGUCUGGU